AUUGAACGCUGGCGGCAGGCCUAACACAUGCAAGUCGAACGAGUGGCGGACGGGUGAGUACUGUCUGGGAAACUGCCUGAUGGAGGGGGAUAACUACUGGAAACGGUAGCUAAUACCGCAUACCAUCAGAUGUACCCAGAUGGGAUUAGCUUGUUGGUGGGGUAAGGGCAGACCAAGGCGACGAUCACUAGCUGGGCUGUGAGGAUGACCAGCAACACUGGAACGGAGAUACGGUCCAGACUACUACGUGAGGCAGCAGUGGGGAAUAUGUCACAAGGGGCGCGAGCCUGAUGCAGCCAUGCCGCGUGUAUGAAGAAGGCCUUCGGGUUGUAAAGUACUAUCAGCGGUGAGGCGUUACCCGCAGAAGAAGCACCGGCUAACUCCGUGCCAGCAGCCGCGGUAAUUC
rnacentral:rRNA from 1 species